rnacentral:rRNA from 1 species
CGGCCAAGCGUUCUUAGCGACGUCGUCUUUUUUGAUCCUUCGAUGUCGGCUCUUCCUAUCAUUGUGAAGCAGAAUUCACCAAGUGUUGGAUUGUUCACCCUUCGAAAGGGAACGUGAGCUGGGUUUAGACCGUCGUGAGACAGGUUAGUUUUACCCUCCCGAUGAAAGGGAGGCGGCCGUAGCAGUAAUUGGACUCAGUACGAGAGGAACGGUCGAUUGGGACCUCUGGUAUCUUCGUUCGCCCGAACGGGCGCCGACGAGAGGCUACGUCCGCGGGAUUACGGCUGAACGCCUCUAAGCCGGAAUCCGUGCUGGACGCGGGCGCCGAACCGCCGAACGGGCGCGCCGCGGUAGGUGCAAGCAUCCGACGCGCGAUGCGCCGCUCGUCCCGUCGCCGGAAGCGGCGGCGGGGCGGCGGCGUCGACAAUCUCACGUCCCACGGUGGGCUCCGAGAUCCCCCCGUAGACGACUCGAACCGGAACGUGGUACUGUGCGUGGC